UUGACGGGCCCGCACAAGCAGCGGAGCGUGUGGUUUAAUUCGAUGUUACACGAAGAACCUUACCUGGGUUUGACAUGGACGUGGUAGGGGAGCGAAAGCGGACCGACCCUUCGGGGAGCGUUCACAGGUGCUGCAUGGCUGUCGUCAGCUCGUGCCGUGAGGUGUCGGGUUAAGUCCCGUAACGAGCGCAACCCCUGUCCUUAGUUACAAGUGUCUAAGGGGACUGCCGGCGGUAAGCCGGAGGAAGGUGGGGAUGACGUCAAGUCAGCAUGGCCCAUAUGUCCAGGGCUACACACACGCUACAAUGGCCAGUACAAUGGGCAGCGAGACCGCGAGGUGGAGCGAAUCCCAACAAAGCUGGUCAUAGUUCGAAUUGCAGGCUGCAACUCGCCUGCAUGAAGCUGGAGUUGCUAGUAACCGCGCGUCAGCUAUAGUGCGGUGAAUACGUUCCCGGGGCUU
rnacentral:rRNA from 1 species